CCAGGAGCAAGGGAGCCUGUGCUGAGGCCUCACCUCGCCUCACUCAGGCUCAGCCCAUGAUGACGCGUUCGAGGUGUGGCUGCUCCUGCUGUAUAAAGGAGCCUCAGCUGAUACUGCAGCUGCAUCAGUGGAUCUGCUGCUCAGUUCUCGGCGUCUGGAAAACUUCUUCCUUCUCUUCACAUAUCUGAAUCAGAGUUUGAAAAUGUUCGGCCAUCACCAUGGGCAUCAUCACCAUCACCAUCAUCGCCCUGGGCUUGAUAUUCAGAUAACCCCAGGAUACGUGGCCCCGGUUGCUCCCCAGGUUUACCCGCCUGUCCAGCCCUAUGUGGCACCUGUGUACAACCCUGUACCCCCCGUGCAGAGCUACGUAACAGUGCCAGAGGUUAUCACCUAUAACUCUUGGCCCCAUCACCAUCAUCAUGGUCACCAUCACCACCAUCACCACAGACAUGGAUGGUAGUGUGGUCACACCACUAGAGAGCUCCUCCAGCAGCGACUCUCAAUAGAUGAAGAUGUUUGGAUGUGAGAAGGAAGUCCACAUCUGGACCACUUCAUCCACCUGCUUAUAAUCUGAAUCACCACUCUAUCAUAGUACAGAGUGUAUGUAUAAGUGUGAUAUUAUAUAUAAUGCGAGGGGCUUUUAUUCUUUUAUAUUUACCUGUCAGAUACAAUGAAAAUGGAAGGUGAAGUAGCUGGUGUGAGAAUGAUGUUGAUGAAUUGUUUCUUUGUACACUGUCAGUCCUUUUCAUGGGUCCUGAUGUUUAAUUUAAUCUUAACAAUAAAUUGUUAAUGUACCGCACAAGAAACACAAGAAAUUGUCUGUUUGUAAAUCAUUUAUUGUUAUCAGGUGUGUUUUAGCCAUAAGGUGUGACAUCAGCUUUGUCAAAAAAAAAAUCCAAACUGAAUGAGACCAAAGAUUCAAAGAUAAAUGAUCUUUACUUCCAAUCCUUGUUCUUAAUCGGCCUGUUUUUAUGGUGAACGGUUAUUUAUCUCCAUUUCUGUGAACGAAACCAGGCCGACAAAGCAGAGACGAGAUUGUUCGGUUCAGACGGAUUUAGGAGAAAAAGGUGCUUAACAAGACAAGUGAAUGAGUGUUUCACUGAGUAAAGCAAUUUCUGGUCAACAUA